ACUUCCGCCGCCGCGCCCGCCGCCGUAGCCGCCGCCGCCGGAACUACUGGGACUGCCCUAGUCCAGACUUUCAUCACCUCUGUCAUGGAUAUUACAUCACCAGCUUCUGAGGACAUUUUCUUGGCUCAGUGCUAUGUCACCUCUUUACUGCUACAGAAUUAAUGUUCUUGAAGAAGUGUUGUCAUGACUUCAUCAACGUACUCAAGCACCUAACAUGGAUUCUUUUGUGGGUGGAUGAAGUCUUCUCAACAGCCUUGCCCGACUCUCUCUGUCCAACUUCAUGCUCCCUACGAUGCUGACCUGAACAGCGAACCAUUCUUCCACGUCUCUGCGGUUGUUGGCCAGCACUGUUUCAUACUGACAACGCAUCUCAUCCAGGACCCUGUUGAGGUCGAUGGUGGGGGCAGUGUCCAGCUCCACACUGAGUCGGUCACCGAGCUGUCCCCGGAGCAAGCUGACUGCCUGAAAGAGGAAAUGGAAUAAAGGAAGCCACAGAGAGCUGGAGAAGAAUAUUCACUUUGACAUCCCAAGGGCAUCCUGUUUCUGGAGAAGCAAAGGAGAUCGUCCUUCAGAGACUCCACAUGGGCCUCCAGGUCAGCUUUGCACAGACUCAGCUCACCCAGGAUCCCACGCAGGCCACCAAUGUCUGUCUCUACCAGCUGGCGAAGAGACAGUUCAGACUCGUACCUUUCAGAGCCAAAGAGAUACAGACGGUGAUUACUUUGCUAGACACCAUGUACUGUGCUGGGCAUGCUGGUGAGUGACACAAGGACUCAAGGAAGCCAUAUUCCAAAUAAUAAAUGUGAGCUUUGUGAGCAUUCUUAGCUUAAAAUAAAGCUUAUAUAGAGAAUAUUGGUGGCAUGUGCAGAUGUGUGCAUGUGUGAGAGACUUGGGGGUGAAGAGAGAGAGAGGGGAACCAUAAAUUAUUUUCAAAUUCAAAUUCAACUUACUUUGAUCUAAAGUCAUCAGCAGCCAGUUUGCAGUUGUCAAGCUGUACAGCAAGUCUAGAAUUCUCUGCCUUCGUGCACAAGAUCUGUAUAAGGAUAAAGCAAAUCACAGGUUAGGGCAGUGAGAGACACCAGACCUUUUGCUGGAGCUCUUCGAUGGUGUCGAAGUAACAUUGAUAAUCAGGGCACACCAGUGGGAGGUCCUCUUCACAUUGCUCUCGGAUCCUGCAUUCCAGCUCCGCAUUCAUCUCCUCCAGGCCACGCACCUUCUCCAGAUAGUUGGCAAGUCUGUCAUUGAGGAACUGCAUCGUCUCCUUCUCGUUGCUGUUGAACACUCCAUCCUCGCACCAAGCACAGUUCCCCAC